ACCCAGCUAUAGUCCCACUUCUCCAUCAUAUACGCCUGGCUCUCCUAGCUACAGCCCAACAAGUCCGUCGUACUCCCCAACAAGUCCAUCGUACUCUCCAACCAGUCCGUCAUACUCCCCCACAUCUCCAAGCUACAGUCCCACAUCGCCAAGCUACAGUCCCACAUCACCAAGUUAUAGUCCCACUUCUCCGAGCUACAGUCCCACAUCGCCAGUUUAUAGUCCGACCUCUCCAGCAUACAGCCCAACAUCUCCUGCAUACAGCCCGACAUCUCCAUCAUACAGCCCGACAUCGCCAUCAUACAGCCCUACUUCACCUUCAUACAGCCCUACCUCUCCAUCUUACAGCCCUACGUCUCCAUCAUACAGCCCUACGUCUCCUUCAUACAGCCCUACGUCUCCAUCAUACAGCCCGACAUCGCCCUCGUACAGCCCGACAUCGCCUGCAUACAGCCCGACAUCGCCUGGAUACAGCCCAACAUCGCCGAGCUACAGCCCUACUUCGCCAAACUACAGUCCAACUUCACCGAGCUACAAUCCUUCUUCGGCCAAGUACAGCCCUUCACAUGCUUAUUCUCCAAGCAGCCCAAGGAUGAUGAGCCCAUACAGUCAGACUUCUCCAAACUACAGGUACUGACCGUGACCUGGCACUCCUCUGGUAUUCUGUUCAUUGCUCGCUAUACUUAUUUUGCUUACAUCUGUUUCCCCAGCCCAACAUCACCGACUUACUCGCCCACCUCGCCGUCGUAUGCACAACCAAGUCCGUCAUACAGCCCGACA
rnacentral:lncRNA from 1 species